UCGAAACCUUAUUCCUGUACUGAAUGUGGCAAAUGCUUUACCUGUAAGAGUUAUCUUGUUCGUCACAUUAAAACUCAUCCAGGCUUUAAAUCUUUCUCAUGUUCGGAUUGUGGGAAAAAUUUUGGCCAUAAAUCAAUUCUUGUAAUUCAUCAAAGAAUGCACACUGGGGAGAGACCGUAUUCCUGUCCUGAAUGUGGCAAAUGCUUUACCCAUAAGAAUUAUCUUUUUCGUCACAGGAAAACUCACACCGGAUUGAAACCUUUUUCUUGUUCUGAAUGUGGGAAAUGCUUUAGCCGUAAAUCAAUUCUUGUAACUCAUGAAAGAAUCCACACUGGGGAGAAACCCUAUAGAUGCACUACAUGUGGGAAAUGCUUUGCUCAGCAACCACAUCUUCGUUUCCAUCAAAAAACUGUGCACUGACACUUUGGUUUUGUUCAGAUCGAAAACAUUAUAGUCACAAUGGAAAUCAUGUAACACAGAAAAGGUUUUAUACUUAAGUCUUAAAUGUGUGAAAUGAUUUCAUCACAAAAUAUAUCUUGAUUUACAUUAAAAACUACAGCCUGUGAAUAAAAAUAUUUUUUUAUCUGUA